rnacentral:rRNA from 1 species
GUGGGGAAUAUUGGACAAUGGGCGAAAGCCUGAUCCAGCCAUGCCGCGUGUGUGAAGAAGGCCUUCGGGUUGUAAAGCACUUUUGUCCGGGAAGAAAUCUUCCAGGUUAAUACCCUGGGAGGCUGACGGUACCGGAAGAAUAAGCACCGGCUAACUUCGUGCCAGCAGCCGCGGUAAUACGAAGGGUGCAAGCGUUACUCGGAAUUACUGGGCGUAAAGCGUGCGUAGGUGGUUCGUUAAGUCUGCCGUGAAAGCCCCGGGCUCAACCUGGGAAUGGCGGUGGAUACUGGCGGGCUAGAGUGCGGUAGAGGGUGGUGGAAUUCCCGGUGUAGCAGUGAAAUGCGUAGAGAUCGGGAGGAACAUCUGUGGCGAAGGCGGCCACCUGGACCAGCACUGACACUGAGGCACGAAAGCGUGGGGAGCAAACAGGAUUAGAAACCCCAGUAGUCC